rnacentral:rRNA from 1 species
CCUACGGGUGGCAGCAGUGAGGAAUAUUGGUCAAUGGACGAGAGUCUGAACCAGCCAAGUAGCGUGAAGGAUGACUGCCCUAUGGGUUGUAAGCUUCUUUUAUAUUGGAAUAAAAUGUUCCACGUGUGGGAUUUUGUAUGUACCAUAUGAAUAAGGAUCGGCUAACUCCGUGCCAUCAGCCGCGGUAAUACGGAGGAUCCGAGCGUUAUCCGGAUUUAUUGGGUUUAAAGGGAGCGUAGGUGGAUUGUUAAGUCAGUUGUGAAAGUUUGCGGCUCAACCGUAAAAUUGCAGUUGAAACUGGCAGUCUGGAGUACAGUAGAGGUAGGCGGAAUUCGUGGUGUAGCGGUGAAAUGCUUAGAUAUCACGAAGAACUCCGAGUGCGAAGGCAGCUCACUGGACUGAAACUGACACUGAGGCUCGAAAGUGUGGGGAUCAAACAGGAUUAGAUACCCCUGUAGUC